rnacentral:rRNA from 1 species
AUUGAACGCUGGCGGCAGGCCUAACACAUGCAAGUCGAGCGAGCGGCGGACGGGUGAGUAAUGUCUGGGAAACUGCCUGAUGGAGGGGGAUAACUACUGGAAACGGUAGCUAAUACCGCAUACCAUCAGAUGUGCCCCGGGGGGAUUAGCUAGUAGGGGGGGUAACGGCUCACCUAGGCGACGCUCCCUAGCGGGUCUGAGAGGAUGACCAGCAACACGGGAACUGAGACAAGGUACAGACGCCUACGGGAGGCAGCAGUGGGGAAUAUUGCACAAUGGGCGCAAGGCUGAUGCAGCCAUGCCGCGGGUGUGAAGAAGGCCGUCGGGUUGUAAAGCACUUUCAGCGGGGAGGCGUUACCCGCAGAAGAAGCACCGGCUAACUCCGUGCCAGCAGCCGCGGUAAUAC